GUAGGUGGCAAGCGUUGUCCGGAAUUAUUGGGCGUAAAGCGCGCGCAGGCGGUCCUUUAAGUCUGAUGUGAAAGCCCACGGCUCAACCGUGGAGGGUCAUUGGAAACUGGGGGACUUGAGUACAGAAGAGGAAAGCGGAAUUCCGAGUGUAGCGGUGAAAUGCGUAGAGAUUUGGAGGAACACCAGUGGCGAAGGCGGCUUUCUGGUCUGUAACUGACGCUGAGGCGCGAAAGCGUGGGGAGCAAACAGGGAGUAGAUACCCUGGUAGUCCACGCCGUAAACGAUGAGUGCUAAGUGUUAGGGGGUUUCCCGCCCCUUAGUGCUGCAGCUAACGCAUUAAGCACUCCGCCUGGGGAGUACGGCCGCAAGGCUG
rnacentral:rRNA from 1 species